UGGCGGCACGCCUAACACAUGCAAGUCGAACGCAGUAGCAAUACUGAGUGGCAAACGGGUGAGUAUAAUGUGGGAAUCUGCCUUUUGGUUCGGAACAACACGGGGAAACCUGUGCUAAUACCGGAUAAGUCCUAACGGAGAAAGUUUUAAUGCCAAAAGAUGAGCCCGCACUUGAUUAGCUAGUUGGUGAGGUAAAAGCUCACCAAGGCGAUAAUCAAUAGCUGGUCUGAGAGGACGACCAGCCACACUGGAACUGAGACACGGUCCAGACUCC
rnacentral:rRNA from 1 species